GCAUAAGUAACUUAGGCGCCUGAAUGUUCUUCACCCACCUCAGAUUUUAUUUACUUUCUCCUUUGUUUCUUUUCUCCUCAGGCCACCAGUGAAAAGACUGUAAGGUCAUAUAGCUUAUACCAUUUCAAGGAGUCAUUGUCUAACCUGGAGGCUCAAGCCCAUCAUUCAAAGAAAACACCGGAAGAGACUAGGUGUUCUGUGAAAUGGCGUAUUCCGAAGUCUCUGUCACUGAGAGAAGGAUGUAAGCGCAGGAUCAAAGCAUCAUCUUCAAAGAAGUAGACAAGAGAGGAAUGUGAUUAACUGUUUUCGAAUGUCAAGAAGUGAAACAGAAACUAGAGCUGGUUCCUUGAUACCUUUGUCUCUCCACGUUCUGGACUGUGGAAUGAUCCGGUUUCUGGUUUAAUUGGCCUGUGACCUGUAGGCAUGGACGCAAGCAUUUCUGGCUUUCUUCGAACAUAUCACAGAAAACUUAAAAAGAAGAGGAAGAAAAAACUCUGGAUACCGGGUAAUGGAUGAUUUUGUGUGUGUGUGCUUUUCUAUAGUUGACAGAAUUUCUGCAAUAAACGUGAAUUCAUUUGGAAAUCA
rnacentral:lncRNA from 1 species